CUUGACACGACGCGACUGGUUGUCCCCCAAUAAUGCUUUUUGUUCUUUGAGAGAAAAAAAACAGUAGCAAUCACACCUAUAUGCCCUAUCUUCUAUUUAAGUCGUCUGCUACACUAAGAGGAUGAGUCUAGAAUGGGCCAAGAAUCAUUGUGGAAUGUCCUUGACGGACCAACAGAUGGAAAAAGUUCCACAUUCAACUACUGAAUUGGGCGUACAUGUUACAAUUAAAACUGUCCAAGCCUUUGGUUUACUCGGAACAGUUUUAGUAGGCCCUAUUGCUGCUAUCGCGAAAAAAGAAACCAGAAACAUGCGAGGACUCCAGCACAAAAUGACCAGAGCAGGUCGCGGGGGUCUCAUACUUGGACUUGUUACGGGGCCCCUCAUGACAUUUUUGAAAGUUAAAGAUGAAGACGAAUAUAAGAUUUGGGACAGGUGUUACCGUCUGCGAAAUAACCGAGGACAGGUCAGAGUUGAUCGGGGGUCGAUUGUUGGAGCCGUUGGUGGCGCUGGGAUAGGCGCAGCUACCGGAAGUGGUGCACUUUUUGGAGGACUUGUCGGGAUGAGUUCUGGAAUAAUAGCUAUGGCUAUUUAUAACAACGCCAUCGUUAAGAAAAACUAACAUUUUUAAUAUAGAUAUCUUAAGUUUGAUGGAUGUAAUCAUAAUGUAGUGCCAUAGUUUGACUACGUAAUUAUACAGCGUGUUCAUUGUUAUUCGUUAAUAUACUCUGUGCUAUUGAUAUUGUUCACAUCUCAUGAGUAAUGAUGGGACUACAUUAUAGCUUUGCAAGUUUCCUCAUUUACAUUUGUCGAAAUUUGGAGUAAACAUUUGUCGGUGUCGUGCAGAAUCUUCCGAAGUUUACCGUAGCAAGACUUAAAAUCAAAUCUUCUGUGAUUCUUUAUCCAGAAUUAAUCUAAUUCAGGUUUUUCAAUAAACAACAAUGCAUGAUUUGGGUAGACUUAUAUAAAUUUAUGAAACUGCUGGUUUUAUGUGAGCUAAUCUGGUAGCGUUGUGAUUUGAAACAUUGAAAAUAAAUGAUGUACGGAAACGACAAUCAUAUCAAGAUAAAUUGCGAGAUUUCGUUUUGUGCACUGUGUAUUGAAGAAAACAAUGGCAACACUAGUGAGAUAUUACCCGGUGAAUGGAUACUGAUAUCAUUUUUUUCUAACCUUAUUAAUACUAGUACCCAAUAAUGACUAUGUAAUGAACUACUAGGCUUAGACUUUUCGUAGCCUUUUGUAGACUUGUUGGAGCCCAAAAUA